GAGGGUAUAUCUCAGUGGUAGAGCACAUACUUAACAUGUAUGAGGUCCUGGGUUCAGUCCCCAGUACCUCCA
rnacentral:tRNA from 1 species